rnacentral:rRNA from 1 species
CAGCCGCCACGGGAAUACGAAGGGGGCUAGCGUUGUUCGGAAUUACUGGGCGUAAAGGGCGCGUAGGCGGCCAUUCAAGUUAGAUGUGAAAGCCCUGGGCUCAACCUAGGAAUUGCAUUUGAUACUGUUUGGCUUGAGUUCGGGAGAGGUGAGUGGAAUUCCCAGUGUAGAGGUGAAAUUCGUAGAUAUUGGGAAGAACACCAGUGGCGAAGGCGGCUCACUGGACCGACACUGACGCUGAGGCGCGAAAGCGUGGGGAGCAGACAGGAUUAGAUACCCGCGUAGUCCCUGUCUCUUAUAC